AUUCACGUCUGUGACUGUGAGUGUGGCUAAUUGCACGUUAGUCACUGUUGCUGAUUGUUGGGAAGGUGUAGGGACACUACUUAAAGGUGUUUCCUGCAUGACAGGCAUCUCGCAAGAGGUGCCU
rnacentral:ncRNA from 1 species